AACAGUGUAUUUGUCUCAGGAUCUGCUGGAGCUACUAAGGGAUCAACGAGAACAAAGAUACAAAAAUAGAAGAACAUGCACACACUGACACACACCAAAAGGGACUCAAAUUCUAUCACUAUACUUGCCACUAAUAGCUUAUAAAUUUUUCUGUUCCCUAUAUUUCUGUUUUCCUUUUCUAAGCAAGCAAACAUUAUUAAUGCAACACUGCAGGUUUAAUUCUCCCUUGGCGCUCCAGUUUAGAGCAUUCGGGCAAACAAGGAGAUCAAUCUAUUACUUAAUGUAUACUAUAUAUUUCAGAAUGAGAAACCUCGUGUUGAGUCGGAGUAAAUGACUGCCGGUUCUGGAACCAAAAACUAAGCCCAUGUGUGUGGGUCGUUGCCCCUAGCUGGACUCCGCAACAGCUUUCAGUUGUAUGCAACAACAUCCUGGUAUCAGCUCCUCUCGCUAUCGGACUGGAAGAGCUCGCAACUUCUGUCAGUUGUGCGUAUAAGGGCGCAUGUUCAAGCUCUUGCGUGUUGG